UUAACUUAAAUUCGUAUGGAGUUGGAACGUUGCCUACGUUUGCCGCUAGGGGCGCUGUUCUAACUUCAUACAAAUUUGAGUUA
rfam:Bombyx mori DNA, contig: Bm_scaf39_contig22580, strain: p50T/Dazao, build 2, whole genome shotgun sequence.